CUUCCCUUUCCCAGUGUCAAUCUUGCUACAGAAUCAUAGAUUGGAAAGGGCUUUAGAAAUCCCAUAGCCCUAUUGUUUCAUGUUACAGAUGGAGAAACUGAGACCUAUAGGGUAUAAGUGACCAGGCUAAGGUUUUACAGUUAGAAAUAGAGUGAGAACCUUUAUUUUCUCUUUAACCUCCUUUGGCUAGCAUUUUUGAAGUCCUUUAUAUCUUGGCCUGGUCACUCGCUGUCCUUUCUCCUUUUAUCAUCUUUCACUGUAUCUGUCUCCUCUUACCAACUAACACACUAU
rnacentral:lncRNA from 1 species